rnacentral:rRNA from 1 species
GCUUGUCUCAAAGAUUAAGCCAUGCAUGUCUAAGUAUAAACAAAUUCAUACUGUGAAACUGCGAAUGGCUCAUUAAAUCAGUUAUAGUUUAUUUGAUGGUAUCUUGCUACAUGGAUAACUGUGGUAAUUCUAGAGCUAAUACAUGCUGAAAAGCCCCGACUUCUGGAAGGGGUGUAUUUAUUAGAUAAAAAACCUUCGCCUUCGGGCUCUUGGUGAUUCAUAAUAACUUCUCGAAUCGCAUGGCCUUGUGCCGGCGAUGCUUCAUUCAAAUAUCUGCCCUAUCAACUUUCGAUGGUAGAGUAGUGGUCUACCAUGGUAUCAACGGGUAACGGGGAAUUAGGGUUCGAUUCCGGAGAGGGAGCCUGAGAAACGGCUACCACAUCCAAGGAAGGCAGCAGG